rnacentral:rRNA from 1 species
CGAGGAAAAGAAAUCAACCGAGAUUCCCCCAGUAGCGGCGAGCGAACGGGGAGCAGCCCAGAGUCUGAAUCAGCUUGUGUGUUAGUGGAACGGUCUGGAAAGUCCGACGGUACAGGGUGAUAGUCCCGUACACCAAAAUGCACAGGCUGUGAACUCGAAGAGUAGGGCGGGACACGUGGUAUCCUGUCUGAAUAUGGGGGGACCAUCCUCCAAGGCUAAAUACUCCUGACUGACCGAUAGUGAACCAGUACCGUGAGGGAAAGGCGAAAAGAACCCCGGCGAGGGGAGUGAAA